UGGGGAAUUUUGGACAAUGGGGGAACCCUUGAUCUACCAACCCCCCGUGUGCGAUAAGGGCCUCUGGGUUGUAAAGAACUUUUGGCGGGAAAGAAACGUCAGGGUUUAUUACCCCGUGAAACUGAGGGUACUGGAGAAAUAACACCCGCCUACUUACGUGCCAGCAGCCGCGGAAAUACGUAGGGUGCAAGCGUUAAUCGGAAUUACUGGGCGUAAAGCGUGCGCAGGCGGUUCGGAAAGAAAGAUGUGAAAUCCCAGGGCUCAACUUUGGAACUGCAUUUUUAACUACCGGGCUAGAGUGUGUCAGAGGGAGGUGGAAUUCCGCGUGUAGCAGUGAAAUGCGUAGAUAUGCGGAGGAACACCGAUGGCAAAGGCAGCCUCCUGGGAUAACACUGACGCUCAUGCACGAAAGCGUGGGGAGCAAACAGGA
rnacentral:rRNA from 1 species